rnacentral:rRNA from 1 species
AUUGAACGCUGGCGGCAGGCUUAACACAUGCAAGUCGAGCGGAGAUGAGGUGCUUGCACCUUCUCUUAGCGGCGGACGGGUGAGUAAUGCUUAGGAAUCUGCCUAUUAGGGGGGGACAACAUUCCGAAAGGAAUGCUAAUACCGCAUACGUCCUACGGGAGAAAGCAGGGGAUCUUCGGACCUUGCGCUAAUAGAUGAGCCUAAGUCGGAUUAGCUAGUGGGUGGGGUAAAGGCCUACCAAGGCGACGAUCUGUAGCGGGUCUGAGAGGAUGAUCCGCCACACUGGGACUGAGACACGGCCCAGACUCCUACGGGAGGCAGCAGUGGGGAAUAUUGGACAAUGGGGGGAACCCUGAUCCAGCCAUGCCGCGUGUGUGAAGAAGGCCUUAUGGUUGUAAAGCACUUUAAGCGAGGAGGAGGCUACUGAGACUAAUACUCUUGGAUAGUGGACGUUACUCGCAGAAUAAGCACCGGCUAACUCUGUGCCAGCCGCCGCCGUAACAC